rnacentral:lncRNA from 1 species
GCUCCUCGGCCCGGACCGCCUCCGGGAGCGCCCACCCCGCCCCGCCGGCCCCAUCACCCCCGCCGCGGCCGCCCCCUCUCCGGGGCCCCUCUUCUCCCUACCUCGCCCCCCUUCCCGCUCCGGUCCUCUUUGUCCCCACUGCCUCGGAGCGCUCCUCUCUCCCCUCCUUUCCUCGGCCGAAGCGGACGCCAGCCCUGCGUCCCGUGUGUCCCACCCUCCUCCUGCGCGACCACAGCUUCCCCGGGCCCCAGCAUCCCCAAGCCGUCUGCUCCCUUCCUGUCGCUUUCCUCCCCAUGACCCCCUUCCUUCUUCAUGGGUGCCUGUCCCCGGGCCCCUCUCCUCGACCCCGCCUUGCCUUUCGAAUGUCCCCUGCGUGGACACACCUAACCCAGACGCCAACCUGCACGAGUGUCUCCCGGUAGCCGGGAGCCGGGACCCCAAGUUCACCUGUAGGAUUUCCCAGAAGGGGUGUUGGGGCCUGACCUUUCACAGAAGCCCAGGGCAGGAAGGAAAUGAAGGUGGUAAUGGAGUUUUGAAGACUCUUCAGAACUGGUGCUUGGGUGGAACAUCUUGAGGAGGAAGUAACUGUUUAUUCAAGAAGGUUCUCUACUGUUCCUCAAAAUGUCUUCUUCACUGUGAAAUAAAGUCAGUUUCAUAAGGCAUGCAGAUUGUCAUGCAAACACCACCCUGAGCAUUCUAGAUCAUACCUCCUCACCUUCCCUUUUCUUUCUGAUCCCCUGAGGGUAGCUCAUUAUAUGCCCCUCCCUACCCCUUCUUGGGAAUGCUGCAGCCAUAAAUCUGGAGAGGUCAUUAGAAUUACGAACUCUGGUUGGUGUCUCACAUACCUACAACAGCAACAACAACAACACAAUUAUAGCCACUGUAGAGCCAAUGUCCUGGUUAAUGUUUGUGUAACUGGCCAAUUCUCAGGCCCAGAGAAAGGAGUUUAAGAAAGUUUUUGCAUCUCACCAGUCUAAAACUUCUUCUGCAGUCCAAAACCACAUUUCAACUAUUGUUUAACUGAAAGACUGAGCCCUCUUAAUCUGGAACCACCAACUAAAUUCCCCCUGUGUGCUUAAACACCAAGUUAGAGAGCUGUGUUCAGUGCCAGUGAGAAAAAGUAGAGUGUGAUUACCCCAUCUUACCCACAGCUGAAACCUGUGUCAUUUAUUUUUCAACAAAUGCUGACUGUGCCUUUCUAACUAUAUGCUCCUACGUUUCCAGAAAUGGGAAAAAGCAUGAUCCCUGUUUAUACUAAACAUGACAAGACAUGAGGAAAGUAGUAUAAUAAUGAAAUAUUGUAAUGAGUGCCAUAGGAAAAGCAUUCUUAGGCUAGUGUAGUCAACAAACAUUUAUUUACAGAAAUUGUUACAGGUAAUAUGUUAGUGUGCUGCUUAGAAAAGGCGGGGAUCAUUUAUGAUCAGGAUAAUCAGAGGAAACUUCAUGGAGAAGGCAUUUGAAAGUAGAUAGCAUUUUGGUGAGGCAAAAGGGAUGAAAAAAUACACUAGUGGAGGGAGAUUUUGAACACAGUUAUUAGAGAGAAAAUAUUCCAUGUGUGGUGGGAAUUUUGGGUUGCAUCAGCCAUUUGUUGGGUAGAUUAAGCUUCAGUAACAAAUAACCUUUAAUAUCUUAGUGGGUUACCAGCACAGAGGACUAUUUCUCAGCCCCGUUCCAGUCCACCACCCAUCAGCUGCUGUUCAUUUGCACAUCUUCAUCUCAGGACCAAAGCUGAAAAAGAAGCUUCUAUCUGGGGCAUGUGGGUCUUGUAGCAGAGGAAAAAGAGAGAGUGGAAACCCGCUACAGUUGUCAAAGCUGCUCACCUCAUUCCCGCUCACUUUUCACUGGGCAAAGCAAAUCAGAUGGCCAAGCCCCAUGUCAAUGGGGCAGAAAGUAUGAUCCUCCCGGAGGGACUGGUCUGGCAAAGAGUAAGGAGGAGUCCCCUAUUUUGCAAUAAUGUAGUCGGUGCCAUGGAAAGAGUGUUUUAGAGACCUACCAAAAGUUUCAGGCAGCAAGCAAAAUUGUUUAGUAAAAGGAGUGAGUGAGUGUUGAGGGGAAGAGUUUGGUGAGAUAAGAUGCCGGGAAGUGAUAGGGGGAAGGAGACAGGCUGGGAAGUGAAACAUUAUAAAGUAUUGAAGGCUGGGCAGCUGAGUUAGAUUCGAUGCAAAAGGAUGUAUGAUGGCAUGAAAAAACGCAGCUGUGAGUUCUGAUCUAAAGUUUGUUUUGACCCAUAUAGAGCAGACUCAUUUAACAUUUAAUUAGUUUAUACUGUGUGUCAGUUGUGGUGGCAGGUAGACAUUUGCAUAGAUCUAUAUUUUAAAUUUUGAUCCUCAUGACACCUCUCUGGGUUAGAUAAGUAUUAUUCUCUUUGUUAAGCUGAAGGAGGCUCACCAAGGUUGAAUGACUUGCUUAAGGACACAAAAGCAGCACACAGAACUGUGAUGCAAAGUGAGGUCUUUCUACUGCAUCACUGCAGGGCAAAGAAAUUAAAAUGUCACCUUUCUUUAGUAUUGACUUGUUAUUCUUUAUCUUCUCCUUAAAUACACAGUCUGAAAGCAAGGUUAAUAUGAUGCUUUUUCUCAUAUUAAUUAAAAUGAUGUUUAUAUAACUAAUCCUUGCAUAGUACAACUUCAUAAGUGAAUAAAAAAGAGACAGAUCUUUAACUGAGGUAUUUAUUAUAAAAUUUCGUGGCAGAGACAGUUACUUCUAACCAAAUACAGAAUGCUCUCCACUAUGUAUUUCCCAGUUUUUCCUGCUGUUAGGUGAGGAGCAGCUGAGGCAAUAAAGAAUUGGUGUGCUUCCUCCAUAUCUUUCUUGACCUGCUGUGGUGUCCUUGGAAGACACAUGCACCAGAUGGAAGAAGACAAUUCAUGCCUCAGAAUUCACAUGAGCGAAACCAUGUCUUGAUGGUAUUGCACUACAAGAUAUCCAGUGUCUAUUUGUUACAGCAGCAUAGCCCAACCUAUCCUGAUUAAUACAGAUCCUUCUGACUUUAAUUGAUACAAGGAAAGUGACCAUAUCUGUCUUGCACAUCCUCUUAUCCCUACUGCUGAAUACAGGACCUCCCACAUAAUAUAUGCUCAAUAAAGUUUGAUUAGUGGAAAAUGAAUGAAUCUCAAAUUGAGUCUGGCCUCUGUCUACUAUUUGGUUAAACCACUUAUUUACUGCUUUUAGAAACCAGUGGUUGAUCAAUCUUUUUGAUAUAUCAUUUCAUCAGAUCACUCCUCAGAUUAAGACUUUAUUAUAUAUUUAAUCAAUUUUAAACUCCUUCCUUUGACAUUCAAGGUCCCCAUAAUCUCACCUAGAUUCCUACAACUUUACCAAUUUAUUGCUCUAAUCCAAUCUAACCUAUCACUACUGGCCUGUGACCCCUGGUCACUAUAUUCACUGUUCUAGGGACAAACAUUUAGUGUUCUUAAGCAAAUCAUUUCAAGUCUCUGAGCCUCAGUUUCUCAUUCUGUAAAGUUGUUAUUUGUAGCAAAAGACAUAAUGCAUACAAAAGUUUAAGUUAUGCAGCAUUAUGAAAAUCCAAAUUUAUUUUGUACUUGUUGUUGGUAUAUAUUAAAUAAAUUGAUAGAUCAGAGGAGUGACAUUAAAAAAUGUGUUGCCAUUUCAGUAGCACAUUUGUCAAAAUCUCCCAUGACAAUCUUGCAUGGAAUUGCUGUCUAGGGAGAAAUGGUAAAGGAAACCAGGGAGACCCUGUUGGUUAUCUACUCCAAAUUCAUUCCCUCUUUUUUUUCUUAACUCUACCUCUAUUUUAUUUAAGUUCUGCCCUUCUCCUUGGGACCAUAUUUAUCUAGGGAGGAUCCUUUACAAUGGCCCUAUUUUCACUGCCAAUGAUUACUGUAGUCAUGAACUCUGAUGCGUUUCUGGUUGAUAAGUUGUGGAAAAGAGUGUAAGAGGGCUUCUAAGAAGGGUUUCUGUGCUUUUAAAAAGAAACACUCAGAAAAUAUAUAAUAAUUUCUUCUUCUGGACAG